CAGAACACACACACACACACAUACACACACCCACCCCUCAGGUAAGACAGAACACACACACAUACACACACCCACCCCUCAGGUGAGACAGAACACACACACAUACACACACCCACCCCUCAGGUAAGACAGAACACACACACACAUACCCCUCAGGUAAGACAGAACACACACACAUACACACACCCACCCCUCAGGUGAGACAGAACACACACACACACACCCCUCAGGUGAGACAGAACACACACACACAUACCCCUCAGGUGAGACAGAACACACACAUACCCCUCAGGUGAGACAGAACACACACACAUACCCCUCAGGUGAGACAGAACACACACACACACACACCCCUCAGGUGAGACAGAACACACACACACCCCCCAGGUGAGACAGAACACACACAUACCCCUCAGGUGAGACAGAACACACACACACAUACCCCUCAGGUGAGACAGAACACACAGGCCGCUUCCCAAAUGGCUCAUAGGUCUCUGUUGUAAAGUAGUGCACUAUAAAGGGAAUAAGAUGUUAUUUGGGAUGUUGUGAUAUAUAGGUCAUAUCUAAAGGUACUGUACUACUGUAUCCAGGCAGGGACAAGGUUACACUGGGAUGUUGUGAUAUAUAGGUCAUAUCUAAAGGUACUGUACUACUGUAUCCAGGCAGGGACAAGGUUACACUGGGAUGUUGUGAUAUAUAGGUCAUAUCUAAAGGUACUGUACUACUGUAUCCAGGCAGGGACAAGGUUACACUGGGAUGUUGUGAUAUAUAGGUCAUAUCUAAAGGUACUGUACUACUGUAUCCAGGCAGGGACAAGGUUACACUGGGAUGUUGUGAUAUAUAGGUCAUAUCUAAAGGUACUGUACUACUGUAUCCAGGCAGGACAAGGUUACACUGGGAUGUUGUGAUAUAUAGGUCAUAUCUAAAGGUACUGUACUACUGUAUCCAGGCAGGGACAAGGUUACACUGGGAUGUUGUGAUAUAUAGGUCAUAUCUAAAGGUACUGUACUACUGUAUCCAGGCAGGGACAAGGUUACACUGGGAUGUUGUGAUAUAUAGGUCAUAUCUAAAGGUACUGUACUACUGUAUCCAGGCAGGGACAAGGUUACACUGGGAUGUUGUGAUAUAUAGGUCAUAUCUAAAGGUACUGUACUACUGUAUCCAGGCAGGGACAAGGUUACACUGGGAUGUUGUGAUAUAUAGGUCAUAUCUAAAGGUACUGUACUACUGUAUCCAGGCAGGGACAAGGUUACACUGGGAUGUUGUGAUAUAUAGGUCAUAUCUAAAGGUACUGUACUACUGUAUCCAGGCAGGGACAAGGUUACACUGGGAUGUUGUGUUUUAAUGAAG